AUUGAACGCUGGCGGCAGGCCUAACACAUGCAAGUCGAGCGGAAACGAGUUAUCUGAACCUUCGGGGGACGAUAACGGCGUCGAGCGGCGGACGGGUGAGUAAUGCCUAGGAAAUUGCCCUGAUGUGGGGGAUAACCAUUGGAAACGAUGGCUAAUACCGCAUGAUGCCUACGGGCCAAAGAGGGGGACCUUCGGGCCUCUCGCGUCAGGAUAUGCCUAGGUGGGAUUAGCUAGUUGGUGAGGUAAGGGCUCACCAAGGCGACGAUCCCUAGCUGGUCUGAGAGGAUGAUCAGCCACACUGGAACUGAGACACGGUCCAGACUCCCACGGGAGGCAGCAGUGGGGAAUAUUGCACAAUGGGCGCAAGCCUGAUGCAGCCAUGCCGCGUGUAUGAAGAAGGCCUUCGGGUUGUAAAGUACUUUCAGUCGUGAGGAAGGUGGUGUAGUUAAUAGCUGCAUUAUUUGACGUUAGCGACAGAAGAAGCACCGGCUAACUCCGUGCCAGCAGCCGCGGUAAUACGGAGGGUGCGAGCGUUAAUCGGAAUUACUGGGCGUAAAGCGCAUGCAGGUGGUUUGUUAAGUCAGAUGUGAAAGCCCGGGGCUCAACCUCGGAAUAGCAUUUGAAACUGGCAGACUAGAGUACUGUAGAGGGGGGUAGAAUUUCAGGUGUAGCGGUGAAAUGCGUAGAGAUCUGAAGGAAUACCGGUGGCGAAGGCGGCCCCCUGGACAGAUACUGACACUCAGAUGCGAAAGCGUGGGGAGCAAACAGGAUUAGAUACCCUGGUAGUCCACGCCGUAAACGAUGUCUACUUGGAGGUUGUGGCCUUGAGCCGUGGCUUUCGGAGCUAACGCGUUAAGUAGACCGCCUGGGGAGUACGGUCGCAAGAUUAAAACUCAAAUGAAUUGACGGGGGCCCGCACAAGCGGUGGAGCAUGUGGUUUAAUUCGAUGCAACGCGAAGAACCUUACCUACUCUUGACAUCCAGAGAACUUUCCAGAGAUGGAUUGGUGCCUUCGGGAACUCUGAGACAGGUGCUGCAUGGCUGUCGUCAGCUCGUGUUGUGAAAUGUUGGGUUAAGUCCCGCAACGAGCGCAACCCUUAUCCUUGUUUGCCAGCGAGUAAUGUCGGGAACUCCAGGGAGACUGCCGGUGAUAAACCGGAGGAAGGUGGGGACGACGUCAAGUCAUCAUGGCCCUUACGAGUAGGGCUACACACGUGCUACAAUGGCGCAUACAGAGGGCGGCCAACUUGCGAAAGUGAGCGAAUCCCAAAAAGUGCGUCGUAGUCCGGAUUGGAGUCUGCAACUCGACUCCAUGAAGUCGGAAUCGCUAGUAAUCGUGGAUCAGAAUGCCACGGUGAAUACGUUCCCGGGCCU
rnacentral:rRNA from 1 species